GCCUUCGGAGGCACUCCCCCCUCUUCAAGCGCCAGGCGACUCGCGGCGAGGGGCAGCCCUGUGGGUGUCCGCACUGCGGGAGGGUGUUCUGGAGCCGCUUGUCCCUCCCGGAGCACCGGCGCGCCCCGGGCGGCCAGCGCCGCCUAACCUGUGAGGGGACAGUGUGGCGCGGCGGCCCCCACGGCAGCCGCGGCGGUGGGAAGCCCUCGGAGAAGAACGACGGGGGAAAGGCGCCGGCCUCUUUGGGUGCGAGGGCCAGAAAGUCUGGGGACACCGCGAACGCGCAGCCACCGGCAGUGCAGCCUGCUGGCCUGGGAGAGGGCCCGCUUUAAAGCCUGGGGCCUCCCGCUCCCCUCUGCCUUUGAUCGCUGAGGACGCGACUGAAGCACAGAGACCUCAGAACAGAUCCAUGUUCUGUGCUGGAACUGCCCAGAUGCCCCUACCCGACGCGGGUCAGAGCCGCGCUCCAGCAGGGCCCUGUCAUGGGCACAGCCGCCUCCGGUGAGGGACGAGCGGUCUCUCUCGUGUCGUGGGACCAUCCGCUUCGCCCCAAGACUUCUUGGUGUUUCCAGGUAAAAGCACUAAAAGCACUUUAAUCCUUUCAGAGCUCAUAAACGGGGGGGGGGGGGGGGGGGGACGUGACGGAAUUCUACAACUAGACUGUGGCCGGCCCGUGACAUCACCUCAAAUGCAUCAAGAAACCGUCCGAAAAUGGCCUUGGGCGAACACAUUCGUGGACAGCUCACGCCCAGGUGCCAGGCUGCGGGAAGCGGUGUCUCCUCUCUAAGCCCGCAGCUCCACGGGAAGAAACGGGACACGCUGCCAUCAUGCUGACUGGUGACCCGCUCUUUUUCCAGGCCCUCUGUCCCCGUGCCAGAGAGGCGCAGGCUUCCUUUGAGAAGCAGCCCCCUGGGCCCAUAUUCUCGGAGCCCUGGGGCGGGGCAGAGGAGUCAGGGGACACUCUGGUCCCUCGCAGGAGCGGGCUCCGGGCAAAACCCCGCACCAGCUGGCCUGCUGCUAUCCGUCUCCUCCUGCCCGGUCUCCCGGGCUCACCCUACUCACUGCCGUCUGCCUCCCACACCCCAGCAGCAGAGACCAGCCUGGCCUCUCUGCCCCUCCUCCCCACCCUCAGUGCCUAAAGCUUCAUACUUAGCUGCUCUUCCUCAAGCGGCCACCUCUUGUGGCUGGUGCCGAUCAGGAACAAAACGAGACGGGCUACGAAUUUGCACAGAGCAUGCCCAGUGAUGGCUCUCUCAUCGGACCUUUCGUAUGAUAUUUCUUACAAUACUGCACGUUCCCUUGCUUUCAGCAUUUUUGUAUUCAGGAGUAACGUAAGCUAGAGAUUUGGGCCAUAUAAGGAAGGGUGUUGGUGAAUCGCUCCUGAAAUAAGAAUCCCGCCAACCCUCUGAGAAGACCUCAGGCAGGAGAAAGAGACACCCGAUGGGUGUGGUGGUGAGCCUGGCCGCUCUUCUCCCUCCUCCCCCUGAGCCCCACGGAAACAGGGUGGCCCCUUCAAAUGGCACUUUCCUGCAGCCUCCUGCUGGCCAGGGGGUGGCGGCUGCUGGCAGGCUCUGCCCUGUUCUGUCCGCACAGUCCCCAGAGCCAGGUUCAGGAGUUCGGCCCCUGGGUGCUCUCAGCCCAGCGUCCUGGUUGGCUUGCCUCCUCCUUCCAGCCCCCUCCACUGCCGGGACCUCUGGCGGGCAACUGGUAGGUAUGCUGGGCACCCCCAUGGGCCUCCGAGGAUCGUGUGUGCCUUCCCUGCCACACAGUGAGAGGCUCAAAGCACCCUCAGGACAGUGUGGGGAAGAUCUGGAAAUACAGAAUUUCUUCCGAGCAUGCUUCUUGGAGCUCCAGUCACUAGGACGACUCCAGGAGCAAGAGAUACAGAUAGAUCGAUAGAAACACAUUGACAUAGAAGUUUUCUAUAGCCAUAUUAAAAUGAUUUUUAGACACGACUUACGGAAAGUUCUAGAGUUCUGGCAACUUGCUUUUAUCUCAGAGCCCCUUUCACAGGGUCUGUGUCCCCUUGUCCUUCGAUCGCCUUCUGCUCUUUGUGUCACAUUCAUCUUUGCCGGCACUUCAGAAACAGGAAGUAUUAAGGCCACUGUCUCUGAAGUCCACGGACAGGGCAUGUGGAAGCGCGUGUUUUUAUGAGGCGCAAUCUUUGCCAGGGCUGGGGUGGAUUCAGGAAGCCAAUCCCAGUGCAGAACAAGAGACAGUGGCAGGAGGCAUUGGGGCGACAGCUGCCACGCGGUGGUGGGAACUAGAAAGAGAUCAGAUCCCGGGGCUCUGAUGUCUGUUUCCAUCACCGUAGUAAGUGAGCCGUCUCAACUCUGCAGGCCAGUCAGUAACCGGCUUCACUAAAGAAGAGUCGUAGCCCCCCGUGGAAUGUCAUCCCAUGGGUUCUACUGGAUGAGCCACCUUGAUUUUGUGGUUUUCUUUCUAAUGUGCUCUGAAAUUGGGCUCCCACACAACUGGAUGCAAAAGCUCACGCUACUGAAGGACAUCCUGCCGGCUUUCCAGUCCCUUCCCCAAGAACUUCACUGGACGUCGGCCCCGUCGCGCUUCUCGACUGGUGUGCUUCAGGGAUGGCCCCGUAAGACACGGUGCCAGCGCACAGUGUGUCUGAUGUUGAGACCACUCGCCCUGUGAAACUGUGGAGACUUUCCAAGAGCCAUUUAAAUGCUGUGGCGGUUCCUCCACGUAACUGGUGAAUAGCCCCGGCCGCAUUCAUUUACUUUGGGCGCGAGCAAACGAGGGUCUAAGAGUGCUGGCCUUAAAGGAGCCCUCUCGUGGUGUCAAGUAACCAGAUGGCAGUUGGGCCAAAGGUCCCAGGAAAAACUCUAAGUGUGGAAUCGUGGGGGAAAACCAAGACACUAUGUUGGCGUGAAGGGAAGGCAGAAACCCUGGAGGGCGAGACACAUGGGCAUCAAGAGCUGCCACCCCCGGCCGGUGGGACACCGUGACUCAGAUCAGGAAGGACAGAGUAGCGCAUCAGUCCCCCGAGAGACCCAGCUGGGUCUUCCUCCCAGUUGCUUCUUCAGACAACAUGGCGGCACGCACACUCACUCAGGUGGGUGCCCCGUCCAGCCCCGUGCGGGCCUGUAUAGAAGGUGGCUCCACCUUCACCCUUCCGUGGUUUGCUUUGUGGCCUCCCGCUGUGGGGGGACUCCAGGGUGGACACCUGUCUGUACUAUAGGCCCUGCGACCUCUCCAUCUCCGUCUUCCCCCAGCCAUGUUUGAGGUCCUCGGCCCUUUCCUCUGUCCUUUAUCUCUGAUGGUCAUUGAGCCACCAGAUCCCUUCCGCCCUCGAUUGUGGUUGCCCCAGCUGUGCCUGCCUGCAUGCGGCCGUGUUUGAGUUGCAAGGGCGGUCCUGCAGUUGUCACCUGACUGACGGAAGCAUCCUUGUCUGGGGCUUUAUGUAGGCCCGGGAACAUAGCUCUCUGCAAAACGGACCAUGUCUACAACCUUGCUCAGAUUGUAGCUCGCGAGACUAGCUCUGCUUUGCGAAGCUGGCAGUGCUCCAAACAAAGAGGGAAAGCUGUGUUCCCUGUGACUGUGUGGCUAUAAUCCCAGACUUGCCCCCAAGGGAGGGAAAAACAGGCCUGGGAAGGGGGCUCUCAGGAUUGUGUUGCCAUUGUCGCCAAACAUCCUUAGCUUCUACAUGUUUUCUUUGCUCUCGCUCCCGAGGUUGGUUCUGCUGGUGUUAUGGCAGCAGGGGCGCAGCGGGAUGCCUACGGCAUGGCUGAUUCUCCGUGAACGUCUCAGGACGGGCCAGGACCUUCACUCCUUUCCUCAGCCGGAGUUGCACAGCAGGCUUUCAGGUGUUGACCCGGGAUGCUUUGACGUGAGCACCUCAAAUGACGUUCCCAGGAAUUGCCACUUGCUGUGGGCUCACUAGAUCAUCCAUCCUCUCAUGCUCCUACUGAUGUGUCUAUAACUUCACAACACAGGGACCCCCCCCCCCCCAGGACUUGCAGGUCGCCGAUUCAUCUUUCUUUGACCGCCUCAUGUAGAGGUAUCAUCCUGCGUGGGCCACAAGACCUGUUGAAUGCUUGCUGGUGGACCUUUGGGUUGUUUCCAGCCCGGGGCCAUGACAAAUAAAGCUGCUAUGAGCACUUGAGUGCA